rnacentral:rRNA from 1 species
GAAAAGAAACUAACAAGGAUUCCCCUAGUAACUGCGAGUGAAGCGGGAAAAGCUCAAAUUUAAAAUCUGGUGGUCUCUGGCCAUCCGAGUUGUAAUCUAGAGAAGUGUUACCCGCGUCGGACCGUGUAUAAGUCUCCUGGAAUGGAGCGUCAUAGAGGGUGAGAAUCCCGUCUUUGACACGGACUACCGAGGCUUUGUGGUAUGCUCUCAAAGAGUCGAGUUGUUUGGGAAUGCAGCUCAAAAUGGGUGGUAAAUUCCAUCUAAAGCUAAAUAUUGGCGAGAGACCGAUAGCGAACAAGUACCGUGAGGGAAAGAUGAAAAGAACUUUGGAAAGAGAGUUAAACAGUACGUGAAAUUGCUGAAAGGGAAACGCUUGAAGUCAGUCGCGUUGGCCGGGAAUCAGCCUUGCUUUUGCUUGGUGUACUUUCUGGUUGACGGGCCAGCAUCAGUUUUGACCGGUGGAAAAAGUUCAGGGGAAUGUGGCAUCUUCGGAUGUGUUAUAGCCCUUGUUCGUAUACAUCGGUUGGGACUGAGGAACUCAGCACGCCGCAAGGCCGGGUCUUUGACCACGUUCGUGCUUAGGAUGCUGGCAUAAUGGCUUUAAUCGACCCGUCUUGAAACACGGACCAAGGAGUCUAACAUGCCUGCGAGUGUUUGGGUGGAAAACCCGAGCGCGUAAUGAAAGUGAAAGUUGAGAUCCCUGUCAUGGGGAGCAUCGACGCCCGGACCUGACGUUUUCUGACGGCCCUGCGGUAGAGCAUGUAUGUUGGGACCCGAAAGAUGGUGAACUAUGCCUGAAUAGGGUGAAGCCAGAGGAAACUCUGGUGGAGGCUCGUAGCGAUUCUGACGUGCAAAUCGAUCGUCAAAUUUGGGUAUAGGGGCGAAAGACUAAUCGAACCAUCUAGUA